GAUGAACGCUGGCGGCGUGCCUAAUACAUGCAAGUCGAGCGAACAGACGAGGAGCUUGCUCCUCUGACGUUAGCGGCGGACGGGUGAGUAACACGUGGAUAACCUACCUAUAAGACUGGGAUAACUUCGGGAAACCGGAGCUAAUACCGGAUAACAUGUUGAACCGCAUGGUUCAACAGUGAAAGACGGUCUUGCUGUCACUUAUAGAUGGAUCCGCGCCGCAUUAGCUAGUUGGUAAGGUAACGGCUUACCAAGGCAACGAUGCGUAGCCGACCUGAGAGGGUGAUCGGCCACACUGGAACUGAGACACGGUCCAGACUCCUACGGGAGGCAGCAGUAGGGAAUCUUCCGCAAUGGGCGAAAGCCUGACGGAGCAACGCCGCGUGAGUGAAGAUGGUCUUCGGAUCGUAAAACUCUGUUAUUAGGGAAGAACAAAUGUGUAAGUAACUAUGCACGUCUUGACGGUACCUAAUCAGAAAGCCACGGCUAACUACGUG
rnacentral:rRNA from 1 species